CACGUAGGGGGCGAGCGUUGUCCGGAUUUAUUGGGCGUAAAGCGCGUGUAGGCGGCUUUGCAAGUCGGGUGUGAAAGCCCUCGGCUCAACCGAGGAAGUGCGCCCGAAACUGCAGAGCUUGAGUGCCGGAGAGGAUGGCGGAAUUCCCCAAGUAGAGGUGAAAUUCGUAGAUAUGGGGAGGAACACCGGUGGCGAAGGCGGCCAUCUGGACGGCAACUGACGCUGAGACGCGAAAGCGUGGGGAGCAAACAGG
rnacentral:rRNA from 1 species